UAUUAUGUUUUGUUGGUAUUUUUCUUUUCUUUUGGUUGAGAAUUAAUUACAGGAAAUUUGAGACUGGCACCCAAACAAACAAGGCAAAAUCCCUAUGGUUCAUUUGAUCACACUUGAUUUGUGUCAGCUGACGUUGUGGCUAGACACGCCAGUUCUCUUACCAACAAAAUUGCAAUACUGGAACGAGGAUUGGAUCAAGGGUUAUCACACAUCUUGACCUUCAACCAAUGAUUGAUGCAUGCCAUUAGCAAAAAUUUUGUGCCUCGCCAACAACUGUAAAUUAGUUCCAUUCUCGAGCCAUGCCAUCAAUGAAUUUUAUGAAACUCCUGAUAUUAAAAACGAUGGAUAUGGUCAAUAUUUGGCUGAGCAAGAAGAUUGGGAUGAUAUCAUUGAUAUACUUUGUGAGGAAGGUGCUCAAUGGCGAUUCUUCAAUAAUGCACCAGUUUCAUUCAAGAGGAAUGUGAUGAAACCAACUUCUAAGAUAUGAUUAUAUUUUAUGGCUUCCAAAUUACUUUUUACCACACAUCUCAGUAAUGUCAUAAAAGAUCUAGCCAUCAUUAUUCACUCCAUCAAGAUUGGAUGCACAAUUGAUAUUGGCUGCGUAAUUUACAAAGCCAUGACUCACACUACAUGAUCAAAGUGUGAAGGCUUGCAGUUCCCUUCUAUGAUUACAACAUUAUGCAAACAAGCUGGUGUAAAUUAAAAUGCUAGUAAGGAGUUGUUGCA